GAUCCUGGCUCAGAUUGAACGCUGGCGGCAUGCUUUACACAUGCAAGUCGGACGGCAGCACAGAGAAGCUUGCUUCUUGGGUGGCGAGUGGCGAACGGGUGAGUAACAUAUCGGAACGUACCGAGCAGUGGGGGAUAACUAAUCGAAAGAUUAGCUAAUACCGCAUAUCUUCUGAGGAAGAAAGCAGGGGUACCAUUUGGUCCUUGUCGCUGUUUUGUAGCGGCCGGAUAU
rnacentral:rRNA from 1 species